GAUGAGCAUGCGUCCCAUUAGCUUGUUGGUAAGGUAACGGCUUACCAAGGCAACGAUGGGUAGGGGUCCUGAGAGGGAGAUCCCCCACACUGGUACUGAGACACGGACCAGACUCCUACGGGAGGCAGCAGUGAAGAAUAUUGGUCAAUGGGCGCAAGCCUGAACCAGCCAUGCCGCGUGCAGGAUGACGGUCCUAUGGAUUGUAAACUGCUUUUGUACAGGAAGAAACAGUUCUACGUGUAGAACCUUGACGGUACUGUAAGAAUAAGGAUCGGCUAACUCCGUGCCAGCAGCCGCGGUAAUACGGAGGAUCCAAGCGUUAUCCGGAAUCAUUGGGUUUAAAGGGUCCGUAGGCGGUUUUGUAAGUCAGUGGUGAAAGCCCAUCGCUCAACGGUGGAACGGCCAUUGAUACUGCAAGACUUGAAUUAUUGGGAAGUAACUAGAAUAUGUAGUGUAGCGGUGAAAUGCUUAGAGAUUACAUGGAAUACCAAUUGCGAAGGCAGGUUACUACCAAUAUAUUGACGCUGAUG
rnacentral:rRNA from 1 species